rnacentral:rRNA from 1 species
GCUGGCGGCGUGCUUAACACAUGCAAGUCGAACGGAAAGGCCCUUCGGGGUACUCGAGUGGCGAACGGGUGAGUAACACGUGGGUGAUCUGCCCUGCACUUUGGGAUAAGCCUGGGAAACUGGGUCUAAUACCGAAUACACCUCCUUGGUUGCAUGAUCUUGGGGGGAAAGCUUUUGCGGUGUGGGAUGGGCCCGCGGCCUAUCAGCUUGUUGGUGGGGUGAUGGCCUACCAAGGCGACGACGGGUAGCCGGCCUGAGAGGGUGUCCGGCCACACUGGGACUGAGAUACGGCCCAGACUCCUACGGGAGGCAGCAGUGGGGAAUAUUGCACAAUGGGCGCAAGCCUGAUGCAGCGACGCCGCGUGGGGGAUGACGGCCUUCGGGUUGUAAACCUCUUUCAGCACAGACGAAGCGCAAGUGACGGUAUGUGCAGAAGAAGCACCGGCCAACUACGUGCCA